rnacentral:rRNA from 1 species
GCCUAGUCGUAAACAAUUUAUUUACAUGUCCAAACGCCCGGGUAUUACGAGCAAUGCUUAAAACCCAAAGGACUUGACGGUGUUCCACCCACCUAGAGGAGCCUGUUCUAUAAUCGAUAAUCCCCGCUUUACCUAACCAUUCUUAGCCUAAUCAGUCUGUAUACCUCCGUCGAAAGCUUACCAUAUGAACGUCUAUAGUAAGCCCAAUGGCCACCCCCAGCACGUCAGGUCAAGGUGCAACUUAUAGAAUGGAAAGUAAUGGGCUACAAUUUCUAGAAUAGAAUAAACGAAAGGCUGCCUGAAACCCCAGUCAUGAAGGAGGAUCUAGCAGUAAAAAGAGAAUAGAGAGCUCUUUUUAAUUAGGCACUGGAACGCGUACACACCGCCCGUCACCCUCUUCAAUAGUUCUUCGUCUCGUUUACUAACAAAUUAACCACGGCUU